GAUGAACGCUGGCGGCGUGCCUAAUACAUGCAAGUCGAGCGAACGGACGAGAAGCUUGCUUCUCUGAUGUUAGCGGCGGACGGGUGAGUAACACGUGUAUAACCUACCUAUAAGACUGGGAUAACUUCGGGAAACCGGAGCUAAUACCGGAUAAUAUUUUGAACCGCAUGGUUCAAAAGUGAAAGACGGUCUUGCUGUCACUUAUAGAUGGAUCCGCGCUGCAUUAGCUAGUUGGUAAGGUAACGGCUUACCAAGGCAACGAUGCAUAGCCGACCUGAGAGGGUGAUCGGCCACACUGGAACUGGGACACGGUCCAGACUCCUACGGGAGGCAGCAGUAGGGAAUCUUCCGCAAUGGGCGAAAGCCUGACGGAGCAACGCCGCGUGAGUGAUGAAGGUCUUCGGAUCGUAAAACUCUGUUAUUAGGGAAGAACAUAUGUGUAAGUAACUGUGCACAUCUUGACGGUACCGAAUCAGAAAGCCACGGCUAACUACGUG
rnacentral:rRNA from 1 species